rnacentral:lncRNA from 1 species
CAACACAGAAAACCGACGUCGAACAAGCCUAAUUUGCGCUUGUGAUUUGACUGAGAUGGCAUGCGAGCUAGGACAUCGCUUCUCGAGCAGGGAUCCAACCUAGCCACACAAGCCGAACACCACUCAUGUGUCGCACGUACACUUGCCUCGCCGAUAUAAAGCCAACACCAGCCCCAACACGCGACGCGCAGCCAUGUGUUGUUGCCGAUGCCAACAUUGCAAAGCCAAGACAAGCCCCGCAAAGCACGAAUCCCCAACACGUGACGCGCAGCCAUGUGUUGUUGCCGAUGCCAACAUUGCAAAGCCAAGACAAGCCCCGCAAAGCAUGAAUAGGGGGUUUGAACAAUGCCAGACACAACCCACAACAACCGAUGGCAAUCGGCAACUUUCUGAGCUUCGCCUCAUGCGCACGGCACCUUGCGGCACUACUUGUAAGACGCUUUGCCAUUUUGUUGCCAAAAUCCAUCAGCCGCCACGAGCGAUGUCGUCUCCUGAUGUUGCCCGCAACAACCGAUGGCAAUCGGCAACAUACUAAGCUUCGCCUCGUGCGCACGACACCUUGCGGCGCUACUUGCACGAUGCUUUGCCAAUUUGUUACCAAAAGCCAUCAGCCGCCAUGAGCGAUGUCGCCUCCCGAUGUCGCCCGCAACAACCGAUGGCAACAGCAACUUACUAAGCGUUGCCCCGUGAGCACGGCACCUUGCGGCGCUACUUGCAUGAUGCUUUGCCAUUUUUUUGCCAAAACCCAUCUGCUGCCACGAGCGAUGUCGCCUCCCGAUGUUUCCCGCAACAACUGAUGGAAAUGAACAUCUACUGAGCUUCGCCUCGUGCGCACGGAACCUUGCGGCGCUACUUGCACGAUGCUCCGCCGUUCGUUGUCAAAAGCCAUAAGCCGCCACGGAGACACAACUCACAACAAUC